rnacentral:rRNA from 1 species
ACUCAAAUGAAUUGACGGGGACUUGCACAAGCAGUGGAUUAUGUGGUUUAAUUCGACGGUAAACGAAGAACCUCACCCGGAUUUGAAACCUAAUUGAAUCUCAUGGAAACAUGAGCGUCUCACAAGGACAAUUAGGCAGGUGAUGCAUGGCCGUCGUCAGUUCGUGGUUUGAAUUGUUCCCUUAAGUGGGGUAACGAACGCAACCCUCGUUGGCUGUUAUAUUUGUCAGCCGAGACUGCCCCCGCAUUAGUUUGUAAAUAGAAAUAUUUAUUAAUUGAUGCGGGGGAGGAAGGCGAGGAUGACGCCAGGUCAGCAUGUCCCUCUGAUAUCCGGGGCUACACACAUAAUACAAUCGCCAUUACAACGCGACGCAAAGAGGUAACUCAGAGCAAAUCGUUAGAAAAGUGGCGCCAGUUCGGAUUGAGGUCUGCAACUCGACCUCAUGAAGCCGGAAUUGCUAGUAAUCGCGGGUCAGCUAUACCGCGGUGAAUACGUUCUCAAGUCUUGUACACACCGCCCGU